AGUGAACGCUGGCGGUAGGCCUAACACAUGCAAGUCGAACGGCAGCACAGUAAGAGCUUGCUCUUACGGGUGGCGAGUGGCGGACGGGUGAGGAAUACAUCGGAAUCUACUUUUUCGUGGGGGAUAACGUAGGGAAACUUACGCUAAUACCGCAUACGACCUACGGGUGAAAGCAGGGGAUCUUCGGACCUUGCGCGAUUGAAUGAGCCGAUGUCGGAUUAGCUAGUUGGCGGGGUAAAGGCCCACCAAGGCGACGAUCCGUAGCUGGUCUGAGAGGAUGGUCAGCCACACUGGAACUGAGACACGGCCCAGACUCCUACGGGAGGAAGCAGUGGGGAAUAUUGGACAAUGGGCGAAAGCCUGAUCCAGCCAUACCGCGUGGGUGAAGAAGGCCUUCGGGUUGUAAAGCCCUUUUGUUGGGAAAGAAAAGCAGCAGGUUAAUACCCCGCUGUUCUGACGGUACCCAAAGAAUAAGCACCGGCUAACUUCGUG
rnacentral:rRNA from 1 species